UUUGCUUUCAAAAUAUAUUUUUUGGUGUCUUUAUCGCGCUCUUGUGGCUUUUUAUCAUGAUGGAGGACUUGUAUAAAAUAAUUUAGAGCAGAGACUGAGAGCCAGGCCUUCUCCACCAGCAUCAGUGUGUGACCUCACCAAUGACCUUCUGGAAGAAAGGUCAGAAAUUCCUAGAAACACUCCUGAACCUUGUGGACAGCCUUCCCAGAAGAGUUGUAGCUGGAACAGCAACAAAAGUUGGAGCCACGUCAGACUGAACUCUAUGGCUCAGGGAUGGGACAGACCUUCAGUUCAUGUGUGAGUCACGGCAGCUCAGACAUCCUACAGUUUUAAGGGGGGAUUGGAUCCCAAUCACAAACCUGCAUCAAUAAAGCAUCUGUUCUUGCUUUUGUUCAACGCCAGUCAGUGGAAUACUCACAGCAUCUCAUUCCACUAAAGUCUUCAACCACACUUUCACUGAAAGGUCUGUACUGUGCAGCAGGGACUCCUGGGACUUUUUAGAAGGCCUCUGUGUGUGACAGACAGAGCUGUGGGUGGUAGUUUGUCCCUCAUGGUGUUCCAUAGAUGAACAUUCAUGGCCAGCACCUGUCUGUUGAGCUGUGAUUGGCUCACAAGGCUGAUAAAUAGCAGCAGUGGGAGUUCCAUCUAGGUGCUGGUUUCCUGGUUUGGCCUUGGUGGUGGCAUGAGUUCUGACCCUGGGGCAUGAGAGUAUCUUGGUGUCUGGACCUGGCUGAAGGUGGCUGCCUCCUCUUAUCCUUAUGGUAGCUGGUACUCCUGGUGAGAGUUGGAUCAGAGAUCUCCCUUGGUGGUGUUUGUGGCUACCCGCCAGUGCAGUGGGGCUGAGGCAAUCCAGGAGGCAGCCGGCCCUCAUGCAG